AAAGUCGGAAGAGAAGAAGAAGUCAGGGAAGAAUUCUGGAGGAUGGUUGUAUGACGGAUUACUUUUUGUCUCCUAAGGGCGACAGCUGAGGCUUCUCUUGGCGUCACUGCCUGUGCGCUCGCAGAGCAUCGUGGGUAGGAGGGAGUUUUGGUCUUCCAGCUCCGAAAGAUGGCGGACGCUUUCGGGGAUGAACUCUUUAGCGUGUUCGAGGACGACUCGACCACCGCGCCCGGAACUAAAAAAGACAAGGAGAAAGAAAAGGGGAGAUGGAAGGGGCCGCCGGGGUCUGCGGAAAAGGGCGGGAAACGUUUUGAUGGUAAAUUGCAGUCAGAGUCAACUAAUAUUGGAAAAGCCAAAAGAGAUGCAGAUUUUGAGGGCACAGAUGAACCCAUUUUUGGAAAGAAGCCUAGGGUGGAAGAAUCAGUAACUGAAGAUUUAAGUUUGGCAGACCUGAUGCCCAGAGUCAAGGUACAGUCCGUUGAAACUAUUGAAGGGUGUACACAUGAGGUUGCACUUCCUGCAGAUGAAGAUUAUUUACCACUUAAACCUCGAGUUGGAAAAGCUGCAAAGGAAUACCCAUUCAUUCUUGAUGCUUUUCAAAGAGAAGCCAUUCAAUGUGUUGAUAAUAAUCAGUCCGUUUUAGUAUCUGCACAUACAUCAGCAGGAAAAACUGUAUGCGCUGAGUAUGCCAUUGCAUUGGCUUUAAGGGAAAAACAGCGCGUAAUAUUUACCAGUCCAAUUAAGGCUCUGAGUAACCAGAAAUACCGGGAAAUGUAUGAAGAAUUUCAAGAUGUUGGCUUGAUGACUGGAGAUGUCACUAUUAAUCCUACAGCGUCUUGUCUUGUUAUGACCACAGAGAUUUUGAGAAGCAUGCUGUACAGAGGUUCUGAAGUUAUGCGAGAAGUAGCAUGGGUCAUAUUUGAUGAAAUUCAUUACAUGAGAGAUUCAGAGCGUGGUGUUGUAUGGGAAGAAACUAUUAUUUUGCUUCCUGACAAUGUCCACUAUGUGUUUCUUUCGGCUACUAUUCCAAAUGCCCGACAGUUUGCUGAAUGGAUUUGCCAUUUACAUAAGCAGCCUUGUCAUGUAAUUUACACAGAUUAUCGACCUACUCCGUUGCAACACUACAUUUUUCCAGCAGGGGGAGAUGGCCUGCACCUUGUGGUUGAUGAAAAUGGUGACUUCAGAGAAGAUAAUUUUAAUACUGCAAUGCAAGUACUUCGAGAUGCUGGUGAUUUGGCAAAAGGAGAUCAGAAGGGGCGGAAAGGAGGAACAAAAGGACCAUCAAAUGUGUUCAAGAUUGUGAAGAUGAUUAUGGAAAGAAAUUUUCAACCUGUAAUUAUUUUCAGUUUCAGUAAGAAGGAUUGUGAAGCCUAUGCACUUCAAAUGACCAAAUUAGAUUUUAACACAGAUGAAGAAAAGAAGAUGGUUGAAGAAGUAUUCAGUAAUGCCAUUGACUGCUUGUCUGAUGAAGAUAAAAAACUCCCUCAGGUUGAACAUGUACUUCCUCUAUUGAAGCGAGGGAUUGGUAUUCACCAUGGUGGUUUACUUCCUAUUUUGAAAGAAACUAUAGAAAUUCUGUUUUCUGAAGGAUUGAUAAAGGCCUUGUUUGCCACAGAGACUUUUGCAAUGGGAAUUAAUAUGCCAGCUAGAACUGUUUUAUUUACAAAUGCCCGGAAAUUUGAUGGGAAAGAUUUCCGAUGGAUUUCCUCUGGUGAAUACAUUCAGAUGUCUGGUCGAGCUGGAAGGAGGGGAAUGGAUGAUAGAGGAAUUGUAAUUCUUAUGGUGGAUGAAAAGAUGAGCCCAACGAUUGGAAAACAGCUACUUAAGGGCUCAGCCGAUCCUCUAAAUAGUGCUUUCCAUUUGACCUACAACAUGGUUUUGAACUUACUACGUGUAGAAGAAAUUAAUCCUGAGUACAUGUUGGAAAAAUCCUUUUAUCAGUUUCAGCAUUAUAGAGCAAUUCCAGGAGUAGUAGAGAAGGUUAAGAACUCAGAAGAACAGUAUAAUAAAAUAGUAAUACCAAAUGAGGAAAGUGUCGUCAUCUAUUAUAAGAUUAGACAGCAGCUUGCCAAACUGGGUAAAGAAAUUGAAGAAUAUAUUCAUAAGCCAAAAUAUUGCCUACCAUUUCUACAGCCAGGUCGUUUGGUAAAGGUAAAGAAUGAAGGAGAUGAUUUUGGCUGGGGAGUAGUGGUGAAUUUCUCAAAAAAGUCAAAUGUUAAGCCUAAUUCUGGUGAACUGGAUCCUCUAUAUGUAGUUGAAGUGCUUCUGCGCUGUAGCAAAGAAAGUUUGAAAAAUUCAGCUACCGAGGCUGCAAAACCAGCUAAACCUGAUGAGAAAGGAGAAAUGCAGGUUGUUCCAGUUUUGGUACACCUCCUGUCUGCCAUCAGCAGUGUUAGGCUUUACAUUCCUAAAGACCUUCGACCAGUGGAUAACAGACAGAGUGUUUUAAAAUCAAUACAGGAAGUUCAGAAACGUUUUCCUGAUGGUGUUCCUUUAUUAGAUCCUAUUGAUGACAUGGGCAUUCAAGAUCAAGGGCUGAAAAAAGUGAUCCAAAAAGUGGAGGCUUUUGAGCAUAGAAUGUAUUCUCAUCCACUUCACAAUGAUCCAAAUUUGGAAACUGUGUAUACACUUUGUGAAAAAAAAGCACAGAUUGCAAUAGAUAUUAAAUCUGCAAAGCGAGAACUAAAGAAAGCAAGAACUGUCCUACAAAUGGAUGAGCUCAAAUGUCGCAAACGUGUUUUAAGAAGGUUGGGAUUCGCUACUUCUUCUGAUGUCAUAGAGAUGAAAGGACGAGUGGCUUGUGAGAUAAGCAGUGCUGAUGAGCUCCUUCUCACUGAGAUGAUGUUUAAUGGCCUUUUCAAUGACCUGUCUGCAGAGCAGGCAACGGCACUACUAAGCUGCUUUGUGUUUCAAGAGAAUUCUAGUGAGAUGCCUAAAUUAACAGAGCAGUUAGCAGGACCACUUCGUCAAAUGCAGGUAAGAGUAUUUUGAACUGCAUGUUUUAUGAAUAGUAAAUGUAAAAUGGACAUUUCUGACAGUCUAAUCCUAUUAUUUAUCAUUCCACAGAGACCACUUCCUUCAUUUAAUGCUAUCAUUUGUGAUUUUCACUUUAAUAAUUAAACAUUCUCCCCCACCAGUGUAAUAAAUUGUAUUGAGUUACUAUGAGUGUAGAUUUAAUACUGCAUAAUGUAGAUAGGCGGUAUCAACAACUCAGUGCCUGCAUUGUUUUCCUUGGUAUUAAGAAUGGCAUCUUGAUGGACUAGGAUUAGUUAGCUUAAUUUUUUUGUAUGUUUUUCCAUUGUAGUUUACAACAAAAUAAACAAAAUAUGUUUUAUCCUAAGAAAUUAAUUAUCCCUGGGUCCUUAAAGCCCCAGUAGCUUAUAGUAAUGAAUUUGUGUGUGUUAUGAUUUUCUUAUGAUGAACUGAUUUUAUCUACCUUUUAACAUUAGAAAGAUGGGGAAAGAUGAACUAUAUGACACUGCAAGAGAGGAGAAGUGAGUCAUAAAAAGAGCCUCUUCAGUGAAACAU